rnacentral:rRNA from 1 species
CCGGCGGCAGCUUACCAUGCCAGUCGAGCGGUAACAUUUCUAGCUUGCUAGAAGAUGACGAGCGGCGGACGGGUGAGUAAUACUUAGGAAUCUACCUAGUAGUGGGGGAUAGCUCGGGGAAACUCGAAUUAAUACCGCAUACAACCUACGGGAGAAAGGGGGCAACUUGUUGCUCUCGCUAUUAGAUGAGCCUAAGUCGGAUUAGCUAGAUGGUGGGGUAAAGGCCUACCAUGGCGACGAUCUGUAGCUGGUCUGAGAGGAUGAUCAGCCACACCGGGACUGAGACACGGCCCGGACUCCUACGGGGAGGCAGCAGUGGGGAAUAUUGGACAAUGGGGGAAACCCUGAUCCAGCCAUGCCGCGUGUGUGAAGAAAGCCUUUUGGUUGUAAAGCACUUUAAGCGGUGAAGAACACUCUUCGGUUAAUACCCGGAGACAAUGACAUUAGCUGCAGAAUAAGCACCGGCUAACUCUGUGCCAGCAGCCGCGGUAAU